rnacentral:rRNA from 1 species
UAGGGAAUCUUCCGCAAUGGGCGAAAGCUUGACGGAGCAACGCCGCGUGAGUGAUGAAGGUCUUCGGAUCGUAAAACUCUGUUAUUAGGGAAGAACAAAUGUGAAAGUAACUAUGCACGUCUUGACGGUACCUAAUCAGAAAGCCACGGCUAACUACGUGCCAGCAGCCGCGGUAAUACGUAGGUGGCAAGCGUUAUCCGGAAUUAUUGGGCGUAAAGCGCGCGUAGGCGGUUUUUUAAGUCUGAUGUGAAAGCCCACGGCUCCACCGUGGAGGGUCAUUGGGAGCUGGAAAACUUGAGUGCAGAAGAGGAAAGUGGAAUUCCAUGUGUAGCGGUGAAAUGCGCAGUGAUAUGGAGGAACACCAGUGGCGAAGGCGACUUUCUGGUCUGUCACUGACGCUGAUGUGCGAAAGCGUGGGGAUCAAACAGG